rnacentral:rRNA from 1 species
CGAGUGGCGGACGGGGGAGUAAUGUCUGGGAAACGUGCCUGAUGGAGGGGGAUAACUACUGGAAACGGUAGCUAAUACCGCAUAACGUCGCAAGACCAAAGAGGGGGACCUUCGGGCCUCCUGCCAUCGGAUGUGCCCAGAUGGGAUUAGCUAGUAGGUGGGGUAACGGCUCACCUAGGCGACGAUCCCUAGCUGGUCUGAGAGGAUGACCAGCCACACUGGAACUGAGACACGGUCCAG